rnacentral:rRNA from 2 species
GCUUGCAUCAUGAUUUACAUUUAAGUGAGUGGCGAACUGGUGAGUAACACGUGGGAAACCUGCCCAGAAGCGGGGGAUAACACCUGGAAACAGAUGCUAAUACCGCAUAACAACUUGGACCGCAUGGUCCGAGUUUGAAAGAUGGCUUCGGCUAUCACUUUUGGAUGGUCCCGCGGCGUAUUAGCUAGAUGGUGGGGUAACGGCUCACCAUGGCAAUGAUACGUAGCCGACCUGAGAGGGUAAUCGGCCACAUUGGGACUGAGACACGGCCCCAAAAUUCCUACGGGGAGGCAGCCAGUAGGGAAUCUUUCCACAAUGGACGAAAGUCUGGAUGGAGCAACGCCCGCGUGAGUGAAGAAGGGUUUCGGCUCGUAAAACUCUGUUGUUAAAGAAGAACAUAUCUGAGAGUAACUGUUCAGGUAUUGACGGUAUUUAACCAGAAAGCCACGGCUAACUACGUGCCAGCAGCCGCGGUAAUACGUAGGUGGCAAGCGUUGUCCGGAUUUAUUGGGCGUAAAGCGAGCGCAGGCGGUUUUUUAAGUCUGAUGUGAAAGCCUUCGGCUCAACCGAAGAAGUGCAUCGGAAACUGGGAAACUUGAGUGCAGAAGAGGACAGUGGAACUCCAUGUGUAGCGGUGAAAUGCGUAGAUAUAUGGAAGAACACCAGUGGCGAAGGCGGCUGUCUGGUCUGUAACUGACGCUGAGGCUCGAAAGUAUGGGUAGCAAACAGGAUUAGAUACCCUGGUAGUCCAUACCGUAAACGAUGAAUGCUAAGUGUUGGAGGGUUUCCGCCCUUCAGUGCUGCAGCUAACGCAUUAAGCAUUCCGCCUGGGGAGUACGGCCGCAAGGCUGAAACUCAAAGGAAUUGACGGGGGCCCGCACAAGCGGUGGAGCAUGUGGUUUAAUUCGAAGCUACGCGAAGAACCUUACCAGGUCUUGACAUACUAUGCAAAUCUAAGAGAUUAGACGUUCCCUUCGGGGACAUGGAUACAGGUGGUGCAUGGUUGUCGUCAGCUCGUGUCGUGAGAUGUUGGGUUAAGUCCCGCAACGAGCGCAACCCUUAUUAUCAGUUGCCAGCAUUAAGUUGGGCACUCUGGUGAGACUGCCGGUGACAAACCGGAGGAAGGUGGGGAUGACGUCAAAUCAUCAUGCCCCUUAUGACCUGGGCUACACACGUGCUACAAUGGAUGGUACAACGAGUUGCGAACUCGCGAGAGUAAGCUAAUCUCUUAAAGCCAUUCUCAGUUCGGAUUGUAGGCUGCAACUCGCCUACAUGAAGUCGGAAUCGCUAGUAAUCGCGGAUCAGCAUGCCGCGGUGAAUACGUUCCCGGGCCUUGUACACUCCGCCUUUCACAUUAUGAGAGUUCGAACACCCAA